AAACAUAAAUAAUGACAAUAUGAGAUGCAAUCUAUAUAUGGUUUGAUUUAUUUUAAUUAGAUGGAAGCUGCACAUAAAGAAAAAGGCUCUGGAGAAGAAGGAGAAGAAAAAGAAGCAGAAAAAGAAGAACAAUCAGAAAAAUCUGCAGAAGAACCACAACAGGUACAGCAGCAGUCCCAAGAAAAACCAGAUGUUGUAAUUUCGGCUAUAGAAGUUCAAACUCAACUUCCUGCUCCUGUUUCUGUAACUGCUCCUCCUGGACCACCACCCGGUUUGCCACCAGGUCCACCACCUCUUAUGUUUCGUCCACCACCACUAAGACC
rnacentral:lncRNA from 1 species